UACGUAGGGGGCGAGCGUUGUCCGGAUUUAUUGGGCGUAAAGAGCUCGUAGGCGGUUCGAUAAGUCGGACGUGAAAUCUCCACGCUCAACGUGGAGGGGCCGUUCGAUACUGUCGUGACUCGAGUCCGGUAGGGGAGUGUGGAAUUCCCGGUGUAGCGGUGAAAUGCGCAGAGAUCGGGAGGAACACCCGUAGCGAAGGCGGCACUCUGGGCCGGUACUGACGCUCAGGCACGAAAGCGUGGGGAGCAAACAGG
rnacentral:rRNA from 1 species